UCGUGAGGAAUCAAUUGUGAUAAUAUUUGUGGACAGUGAUAUGAUGGAGCAUCUAAUAUGUCUGGGCACAUUAAAGGAGUUCAAACCAUAAUAAUUAGAACACAAUACCCCAAAGCUUUAUAUGUCCACUGUGUGGCACACACUUUAAAUUUAGCUGUAUCUUCUGCUUGCAAUAUCCAACCAAUUAGAAACUGCUAAGGGACAAUUCAAAAAAUAUAUUGUUUUUUCAAUUUUCCUAAACGUCAAAAUGUAAUUUUAACAACAAUUGAUGAAAGUGAUUUGGAACCAAAAAUCAAAACUUUAAAACGUUUAUGUGCCACACGGUGGGUCCAACGAUACGAUGCAAUAAAUGAUUUUGUAGAACUAUUUCCAUAUGUAGUCAUCUCGUUAGAAAAUAUAACUGAGUGGUCUGAUUCAUCUUCUGUGGAUGCUAAGUUAUUGUUGAAGUCAAUGGAUUCCUUAUUUUUAAUAUCUUUACAAAUCAUAAAAGUUUUAUUCUCAUAUGGACAACCUUUAUGUAAACAACUUCAACAGAUAGAAAUUGAUUUAAGAGAAGCUGUUGGAACUGCUGGUGAUAAUGUCAAUGCUCUUAAAUCUCUGAGAAAUAACAUAGAUGUUGAAUUUCAUAAGAUGUUUGUAAAAGCAAAUAAAAUGGCUGAUUUUUUGGAUGUAACGAUUUCAAUUAAUCGUCUGAAUAAGAAACAGUAAAAUCGAGCUAAAUCCUUUAACAUAUGAUAAACAAGAACUUGACCCAGAAACAUAUUUUCGAAUAACUAUAUGUAUUCCAUUUAUUGAUGCUUUCAUAAGCCAAUUGGAAGACAGGUUUUUAGAACAUAGAAAUAUUUUUAAUGGUUUUCAGUGUUUAUUUUCAUAUGAGUUAGAUGAUCCACCAGUUGAAUUAAAUGAGCUAUUGAAAUUUUAUUUCCCUGACAUUGAUAUUGAUACAGUCAGAGCAGAGUUAAAAACGUGGAAUGUUAAACUCAAACGAUUAAAUGUACAACCAAAGAACCAAAGACUGGAUUGGAUGCAUUAAAAUACUGUAAUGAACUUAUUUAUCAUAAUUUGACAAAAUUAUUUUAAAUAUUUUGUACACGUGUACACUGCUACACCUGAAAGGAUGUUUUCAUGUUUGAAAAGACUAAAGACCUACUUAAGGAACACCAUG